GGGGAUUUAGCUCAGUGGUAGAGCACUUGCCUAGCAAGCGCAAGGCCCUGGAUUCAGUUCCCA
rnacentral:tRNA from 1 species